rnacentral:lncRNA from 1 species
AAGGACUGGUUUUUUUAACUUUCAUGGGUGAGUAUGGCCUUGCCUGGGCUCACUCUUAUAAGCAAGCUUUGGGUUCUGUUUAGUAUAGACUUUCAGGUUCAGAUUUCAGACUGUGAAUCAGUUCUGGUCGCAACUGGUAAGAGUUUGGUCUUUACACGCAUUAAUUUUAAUAAUUUAUCUACGAUUGCCAUUGCUUUUACUCUACAACCAUUCUUACUUAAAUAUACGAGGUUUUUUUUUUUUUUUUUUACCUUCUGUGAAAUGUUUUAAUCUCACAAAUGGAGCUAAAAGAACUCUUAUUAAUUGAAUUUUUUUACUCUACUUUUGACACUUACCUUUUUGACCUUGCUUUUGCUUGUGAAUUCUGCAGGAAGUGUAACAAAUGAUUUUUCGUAUAUAUAUUUUAUUUGAUAAAUAAAUCCAUUUACUGUGGAUUUGUUUUUACUUUCUCUCCUCUUGCGUAAUGUUUGAGUCUUCACGCUGUUUGAAUGACAGUUUCGCAAUUAGUAGCAAAUAUACGAGGAUUUUGGUAAAAAGAUAGUUGGUGGAACAGUCAACCAUCAUGCUCUGCACUGGUGCGCUGCUUCUUGACUAAAGCGAAAGCAUAGGCCCAGCCAUUGAAAAGCUUUAUGGAGUAGUGGGCGAGUCAAGCGUUAAAAGUAUUGGGUCAACAAGAUGUGUAUAUAUAUAUAAAAGUAGAAUUUGGCAACUUGCGGGAAACUUCCUAUUUUGUUAAUUUCUUUGUUUGAAUCUUACUUUUACCAAAACCCAUUC